UACAGAGGUCUCAAGCGUUGUUCGGAUUCAUUGGGCGUAAAGGGUGCGUAGGUGGCGCCGUAAGUCAGGUGUGAAAUUUCGGAGCUUAACUCCGAAACUGCAUUUGAUACUGCGGUGCUUGAGGACUGGAGAGGAGACUGGAAUUACGGUGAUAGCAGUGAAAUGCGUAGAGAUCGUAAGGAAGACCAGUGGCGAAGGCGG
rnacentral:rRNA from 1 species